rnacentral:lncRNA from 1 species
GGUGAUUUUUCAAAGUUUCCCAACUGCUGUUGUUCGAAACAGGUUUGUAUUUAAAUUGUUUCUUUUGUACUUUUGAUAUUUCCUCCCAUCUUAUACAUGGGUUGAUUAAGUAUCAAACCCAAUAUUCCUCCCAUAACCUUGUCCACCAUAUGUAUAAAUAUUCACCUUCCCAAUUUACUCGUUGAACACUCGGAAUGAUAACCGUUAUCGGUGGAUUCA